rnacentral:tRNA from 1 species
GAAGCGGUGGCUCAAAGGAAGAGCGUUGCCCUUUCACGGCAAAGAUGCGGGUUCAACUCCCGCCCGCUUCUC